rnacentral:rRNA from 1 species
AUGAUGAUGCGCAAGCACGGCCUCUCCAGCGACAAGGUGCUCGACGCCACGCUGGUCAACGCCGGCAUGGGGGAGGACCUCUUCUGGGCCAUCCGGGGCGGCGGCGGCGGCAACUUUGGCAUCGUGCUCUCGUGGAAGGUCCAGCUGGUGCAGGUCCCGUCGACGGUGGUGGCGUUCAACAUCGCCAAGACGGCCGAGCAGGGCGCCGUGGACAUCCUCACGAAAUGGCAGGACGUGGCGCCGUCGCUACCCAGCGACAUCACCCUAAGGGUGAUCGUGCGUGGGCAGCAGGCCAUGUUUCAGGCCCUGUACCUGGGCGGGUGCGGCUCGCUGGUGGCGAUGAUGGAGGACCAGUUCCCGGAGCUGGGCAUGACGAGCGCCGACUGCCAGCCGAUGAGCUGGGCGCAGUCGGCGGCCACGCCGUUCCUCAGCUUCGGCAGGAACGGCACGCUGGAGGAGGCGCUCCUGAACAGGACCACCAGCCUGAGCAGGUCCAACAAGGGCAAGUCGGACUACGUCCGGCGCGCCAUCCCCAAGGCGGCGUGGGAGGACAUCUUCCCCUGGUUCGCCAGGGUUCAUCCUGCUGGAGCCCCACGGCGGUACAUCGUGACGUGGCCAAAGGAGGGCGGGGACGGCGGCACGGCGGCGACGGCAUGGAUCGAGGGCCUGUACGAGUUGAUGGGGCGGCACGUGAGCAAGAACCCGAGGCGGGCGUACGUCAACUUCCGGGACCUGGACAUCGGGCAGAACGACGAGGUGGCCGGCGGCACGUUCGAGGGCGGCGCGGCCUGGGGCGAGCGCUACUUCGUGGGCAACUACCGGCGGCUGGCGGCGGUGAAGGCGGCCGUGGAUCCCACCAACUACUUCAGGAACGAGCAGAGCAUCCCGCCGUUGCGUUGA